rnacentral:tRNA from 1 species
AGGGGCGUGGUGAAACGGCAUCACAUCGGUCUCCAAAACCGCUAUUGAGGGUUCGAUUCCUUCCGCCCCUGCCA